rnacentral:rRNA from 1 species
CCUACGGGAGGCAGCAGUGGGGAAUUUUGGACAAUGGGCGCAAGCCUGAUCCAGCAAUGCCGCGUGAGUGAAGAAGGCCUUCGGGUUGUAAAGCUCUUUUGUCAGGGAAGAAACGGUGAGGGCUAAUAUCCCUUGCUAAUGACGGUACCUGAAGAAUAAGCACCGGCUAACUACGUGCCAGCAGCCGCGGUAAUACGUAGGGUGCAAGCGUUAAUCGGAAUUACUGGGCGUAAAGCGUGCGCAGGCGGUUUUGUAAGUUUGUCGUGAAAUCCCCGGGCUCAACCUGGGAAUGGCGAUGAAGACUGCAAGGCUAGAAUCUGGCAGAGGGGGGUAGAAUUCCACGUGUAGCAGUGAAAUGCGUAGAGAUGUGGAGGAACACCGAUGGCGAAGGCAGCCCCCUGGGUCAAGAUUGACGCUCAUGCACGAAAGCGUGGGGAGCAAACAGGAUUAGAUACCCUGGUAGUCCACGCCCUAAACGAUGUCUACUAGUUGUCGGGUUUUAAUUAACUUGGUAACGCAGCUAACGCGUGAAGUAGACCGCCUGGGGAGUACGGUCGCAAGAUUAAAACUUAAAUGAAUUGACCGGNUGAGACGNGCGACGACGACGACGAGGAGGAGG